CCGCUAUUGGAGUUCGAUUAAGCCAUGCGAGUCGAGAGUCUUAGGGACUCGGCGUACCGCUCAGUAACACGUGGGUAACCUGCCCUAUGCUGGGGAAUAACCUCGGGAAACUGAGAAUAAUGCCCCAUAGUCCACAAUGCCUGGAACGGUUUGUGGAUCAAAGCUCCGGCGGCAUAGGAUGGGCCUGCGGCGUAUCAGGUUGUAGGGGGUGUAACGUACCCUCUAGCCAUCAACGCGUACGGGUGUUGGGAGACAUAGCCCGGAGAUGGAUUCUGAGACACGAAUCCAGACCCUACGGGGUGCAGCAGGCGCGAAAACUUGGCAAUGCGAGAAAUCGUGACCAGGGAACUCCAAGUGGCUGGGGUAAGACCCAGUCUUUUCUUGACUCUUCAAAGGUCUUGGAAUAAGGGGUGGGUAAGGACGGUGCCAGCCGCCGCGGUAAUACCGGCGCCUCAAGUGGUAGUCGAUUUUAUUGGGCCUAAAACGUCCGUAGCCUGUUUGGUACAUUCGUGGGUAAAUCAACCAGCUCAACUGGUUGAAUUCUGCGAGCACGGCCAGACUUGGGACCGGGAGAGGUGUGGGGUACGCUCAGGGUAGGGGUAAAAUCCUGUCAUCCUGAGCGGACCACCUGUUGCGAAGGCGCCACACUAGAACGGAUCCGACGGUCAGGGACGAAGCCUAGGGGCACGAACCGGAUUAGAUGCCCGGGUAGUCCUAGGUGUAAACGCUGUGGACUUGGUGUUGGGGACUCUCCGAGAAUCCUCAGUGCCGAAGCGAAGGUGAUAAGUCCACUGCCUGGGGAGUACGGUCGCAAGGCUGAAACUUAAAGGAAUUGGCGGGGGAGCACCGCAACCUGAGGAUUGUGCGG
rnacentral:rRNA from 1 species